AUUGAACGCUGGCGGAAUGCUUUACACAUGCAAGUCGAACGGCAGCACGGGAGCAAUCCUGGUGGCGAGUGGCGAACGGGUGAGUAAUAUAUCGGAACGUGCCCAGUCGUGGGGGAUAACGUAGCGAAAGCUACGCUAAUACCGCAUACGAUCUAUGGAUGAAAGCGGGGAUCGCAAGACCUCGCGCGAUUGGAGCGGCCGAUAUCAGAUUAGGUAGUUGGUGAGGUAAAGGCUCACCAAGCCGACGAUCUGUAGCUGGUCUGAGAGGACGACCAGCCACACUGGGACUGAGACACGGCCCAGACUCCUACGGGAGGCAGCAGUGGGGAAUUUUGGACAAUGGGCGCAAGCCUGAUCCAGCAAUGCCGCGUGCAGGAUGAAGGCCUUCGGGUUGUAAACUGCUUUUGUACGGAACGAAACGGUGAGCUCUAAUACAGUUUGCUAAUGACGGUACCGUAAGAAUAAGCACCGGCUAACUACGUG
rnacentral:rRNA from 1 species